rnacentral:tRNA from 1 species
GGGCGUUUAGCUCAGCGGGAGAGCACUUCCUUCACACGGAAGGGGUCAUCGGUUCAAUCCCGGUAACGCCCACCA